CAGCCGCCACGGGAAUACGGAGGGUGCAAGCGUUAAUCGGAAUUACUGGGCGUAAAGCGCACGCAGGCGGUCUGACAAGUCGGAUGUGAAAUCCCUGAGCUUAACUUAGGAAUUGCAUUCGAUACUGGGAAGCUAGAGUAUGGGAGAGGAUGGUAGAAUUCCAGGUGUAGCGGUGAAAUGCGUAGAGAUCUGGAGGAAUACCGAUGGCGAAGGCAGCCAUCUGGCCUAAUACUGACGCUGAGGUACGAAAGCAUGGGGAGCAAACAGGAUUAGAUACCCGGGUAGUCCCUGUCUCUUAUAC
rnacentral:rRNA from 1 species